rnacentral:lncRNA from 1 species
UUUAGAAAAAUACAUGGACUCUUAUGAUAUUGUUUUGGUAAAAGAAGAAUCACUGGAGGUCGCCAACUCUAUUUUACAGAAGAUUCUAUAAACAAGCAUUUUUCAAGAAAACGUCUCCCAUGGGUGCAAAUGAUACAAGAUUUACUCAUCUGUCCAUCUAGCUGAAAGACUCUUUAUUUAUAAAUAUAUUCUUGCUCUUGAAGUUUUCUCUUUACAUAACUGAAAUAUUUUCAGACAUGUUGAGUCCAUCUCCUGGAAGCUCCUUUCCCCCCACCUCUUUCAAUACACUCCUCAUCAUAUUUUUUAACCCCUAAAAAAAAUGUUGAAGCCAAAAUUAGGAAAAACUACCCCGUACUUUUCCAAAGUGAAUUUUGUAGCUUAAUGUUAUCAUGCAGUUUUUGAAGAAUCUUUUUACACCAGGAAUGUUUAUAGAUGUUUUUAAAAAGUUUUACGAAAUGGUGAGAUAAUGUGCAUGAUUUUAAGUAUUGCCAUUUAUAUAAUUUGGGUGGAUUGUGCUAAUGGUAUCACCAUCUCCUGAAAUUGUUAUAUUUUGUGUGAGAAAACCAAUAUUUACCAAAAAAGAGUGGCAUUUAAUAUUUGAAAAGACUGUUGGUGGCCAUGUGUCACUAAUCAUCACAAAACAUUCAAAUGAAGCACUGAUAAUAAAUAUGAAAUGAAAAGCCUUUUUAAUUCUACUGACAAGACUAUUUUUAUUAAUUUAUUCAGCAAAUAUUUAUUGAAUACCUGUCUUGUUUUUUCCUUUCUUCUUAUCUUUCAUUUUGUAAUAUGUGAAUCC